GACGAACGCUGGCGGCGUGCUUAACACAUGCAAGUCGAACGGGAGUAUUGAAGAAGCUUGCUUUAGAGAUACUUUAGUGGCGGACGGGUGAGUAACGCGUGAGGAGCUGUCCUAUGCAGGGGGACAACAGCUGGAAACGGCUGCUAAUACCCCAUAAGCCGAGAGGUAAAAGGAUCAAUCCGGCAGAGGAGGUACUCGCGUCCUAUCAGCUAGUAGGUGAGGUAACGGCUCACUUAGGCGAAGACGGGUAGCCGGCCUGAGAGGGCGAACGGCCACACUGGAACUGAGAUACGGUCCAGACUCCUACGGGAGGCAGCAGUGGGGAAUAUUGGGCAAUGGGGGAAACCCUGACCCAGCGACGCCGCGUGGGUGAAGAAAUCCUUCGGGAUGUAAAGCCCUGUUGUAUGGGAAGAGCGGAAGACGGUACCAUACGAGGAAGCCCCGGCAAACUACGUG
rnacentral:rRNA from 1 species